UCCCAAUAUCCCAGUCCCUCCCAGUGCUCCCAGUCCGCCCCAGUGCUCCCAGUACCCCCAGUCCCAGUAUGUCCCAGUCCCUCCCAGUCCCUCCCAUCCCUCCCAGUUUCCCCAUCCCUCCCAGUGCUCCCAGUUCCCCCAGUCCCAAUAUCCCAGUCCCUCCCAGUACCUCCCAGUGCCCCCAGUCCCAGUAUGUCCCAGUCUCCCCCAGUACCCCCAGUCCCUCCCAGUUUCCCCAUCCCUCCCAGUGCUCCCAGUGCUCCCAGUACCUCCCAGUCCCUCCCAGUGCUCCCAGUGCCCCCAG
rnacentral:lncRNA from 1 species